rnacentral:rRNA from 1 species
UCCUACGGGUGGCAGCAGUGGGGAAUAUUGGACAAUGGGGGCAACCCUGAUCCAGCGACGCCGCGUGUGUGAAGAAGGCCUGCGGGUUGUAAAGCACUUUUAGUGGGGAUGAAAAGCGCGAGGCUAAUACCGUCGCGUCUUGACCUAACCCAAAGAAAAAGCACCGGCUAACUCUGUGCCAGCAGCCGCGGUAAUACAGAGGGUGCGAGCGUUAAUCGGAAUUACUGGGCGUAAAGCGUGCGUAGACGGUCAUGUAAGUCGGGUGUGAAAGCCCCGGGCUCAACCUGGGAAUUGCAUUCGAGACUGCAUGGCUAGGAUGCGGAAGAGGGAAGCGGAAUUUCCGGUGUAGCGGUGAAAUGCGUAGAUAUCGGAAGGAACACCAGUGGCGAAAGCGGCUUCCUGGUCCAGCAUCGACGUUCAGGCACGAAAGCGUGGGGAGCAAACAGGAUUAGAUACCCUAGUAGUC